rnacentral:rRNA from 1 species
GACGAACGCUGGCGGCGUGCCUAAUACAUGCAAGUUGAGCGCACAAGCUUGGUACUUGUACCUACUGGAUGAGCAGCGAACGGGUGAGUAACGCGUGGGGAAUCUGCCUUUAAGCGGGGGGCAACAUCUGGAAACGAAUGCUAAUACCGCAUAAAAACUUUAAACACAAGUUUUAAGUUUGAAAGACGUAAUUGCAUCCAUCAAAGAUGAUCCCGCGUCGGAUUAGCUAGUUGGUGAGGUAAAGGCUCAACCAAGCGAUGAAACAUAGGCGACCUGAGAGGGGGGUUGGCCAAAAGUGGAACGGGACACGGCCCCAACUUCUACGGGAGGCAGCAGUAGGGGAACCUCGGCAAUGGACGAAAGUCUGACCGGGCAACGCCGGGGGAGGGAAGAAGGGUUUCGGAUCGUAAAACUCUGUUGGUAGGGAAGAAAGUUGUGGGGAGUGGAAUGCGCAUCAAGUGACGGUAACUACCCAGAAAGGGACGGCUAACUACAUG